AAGAGAGGUCUGGGACACAAAGAACUGCUAAUUCUUUUUACCGUGGUUCAAAUCCACGGCUCACUUA
rnacentral:tRNA from 1 species